CCUACGGGGGGCAGCAGUGAGGAAUAUUGGUCAAUGGACGAGAGUCUGAACCAGCCAAGUAGCGUGAAGGAUGACUGCCCUAUGGGUUGUAAACUUCUUUUAUAUGGGAAUAAAAUGUUCCACGUGUGGGAUUUUGUAUGUACCAUAUGAAUAAGGAUCGGCUAACUCCGUGCCAGCAGCCGCGGUAAUACGGAGGAUCCGAGCGUUAUCCGGAUUUAUUGGGUUUAAAGGGAGCGUAGGUGGAUUGUUAAGUCAGUUGUGAAAGUUUGCGGCUCAACCGUAAAAUUGCAGUUGAAGCUGGCAGUCUUGAGUACAGUAGAGGUGGGCGGAAUUCGUGGUGUAGCGGUGAAAUGCUUAGAUAUCACGAAGAACUCCGAUUGCGAAGGCAGUUCACUGGACUGCAACUGACACUGAGGCUCGAAAGUGUGGGUAUCAAACAGGAUUAGAUACCCUUGUAGUC
rnacentral:rRNA from 1 species